UAUCAAGUGUGUGCAUGUGUGAAAAUGUGUGAAUGUGUGUGGGUGUUUAUGUAUCAAGUGUGUGCAUGGAUGUGUGUGCAAAUUGUGUAUCAAGUGUGUGGAUGUGCACGAGUAUGUGUGUAUUGUGUGCGUGUGUGUGAAGGUACUGGGUGUGUGUGUAUAUGAGUGUGUGCACGCACAAAUAUGCAUAAGCAUGUGUAUAUCGAGUGUGUGCAUGUGUGUGUGAAGGUAUAUAGGUGUGUGUGUAUCUGAGUGUGUCCAUGUGUAUGUGUGAAUGUGCAUGGGUAUGUGUGUAUUGAGUGUGUGCAUGUGUGUGUGAAGGUACCGGGUGUGCGUGUAUCCGAAUGUGUGCAUAUGUGUAAACGUGUGACUAUGGAUGAGCACGUGUGUGUUGAGUGUGUGCAUGUGUGUAUAGGUGUGUGAGCGUGUGUGUGAGAGAAUAGGCAUGGCUGUGUGUCGAGUAUGUGCAUGUGUGUGUAUAGGUGUGUGUGUGUGAGAAUAGGCAUGGGUGUGUGUCAUGUGCAUGUGUGUGUAUAGGUGUGUGAGCGAAUAGGCAUGGGUGUGUGUGUUGAGUAUGUGCAUGUGUGUGUAUAGGGGUGUGUGUGAGAAUUAGGCAUGGGUGUGUGUGUCGAGUGUGUGCAUGUGUGUAUAGGUGUGUGUGAGAAUAGGCAUGGGUGUGUGUGUCAUGUGUGCAUGUGUGUGUGUGUGAGAAUAGGCAUGGGUGUG
rnacentral:lncRNA from 1 species